rnacentral:antisense_RNA from 1 species
GGAAGCCACCCAAGAGCGAUCCAAUGUCUCAUCUCUGCCCUCAAUCAUGGCCUCCGCUGAUGCCAAAGUAAACCCAUUCAGCUUCAGGAGGCUUUUCAGCAAACAAAGCAUAAUUUGUAUGACGGAUCUGUGUGUUACAGUAGAGGAUCACAGGCAUUUGAAAUGACACAACUGGAAGCUAAAUCCAACAGCAGGGGAGACCCUUACCAAGGCAAGGUAUGACGCUCCACUCGGUCUCACUGCCUCCCAUCUCUGCUCCAUCCAAUCUGUCUUCCAGUCCAGAAGUGAAGGUUUUGUGCCAAAAUGCAUUCACCCAUCCAAACAUUCAAUAAAUAUCUACUAAGUACCCACUAAAGGUUAGGUGUGCGUGAAGCCCUGGUGGCAAAGAAAUAAAGAGACCCGGCCUCUUCCCUCAAACAGCUAGUGAACAGUGCAAACCAUGGCACGGUUUGGAAAAUGAGCAUGAGGACUGCCCAGGGUCCCUUUGGGAAAUGCUGAACAGAGUGUGCAUGGCACAUUCAACAGUUCCUUGGAGCAUGGAGUACCCAUGGGCAAGAGUGGGAGAGAAAGCGAGGAGGCAGGCAAAGGCCAGGGCAGGAAGGCCCCAAAAGGCCAUGUGGACCUCACCGCGUGAUUUCUGUUUAGAAACUUUCAAUGGUGCCCCAUUCCAAACCCUUAAGUAUGGCCUCUGUGCGUCCUGGUGUAGCUCCCAAGCUACAUUUCUGAUCCAUUCUCAACUCCUAGUACUGUGCUACACCCAUCUACACCUCACUCCUCAAAGACUCGAAGUAAACUCAUGCUCUUGGCCUGAUUCAAAUAAUUCCCUUAGGCCACUCUGGACCCCAAACCGUCUCCUCCACAUCUCGGCCUGCUGAAACCGGACUUACCGUUUCUUCAGUAUAAUACUGCAGCCACUAACCAGUAGGAAUUAAGCAUGGUCCUACCUUCAAGGAGGUUAGACUCUUGUGGAAGAAAAGGAUAAGUUUAGUAACUAUCGUGUAACUAUAAAAGACAUGGUGAUGAUAUGUGAUAGGUGUUUCCAAAAAAUCACUUCAUUGCAGUAACAAUACAGUGGGAAAUGAGUUGUUGGACUUUGCAAGGAAUGUUUCAAGAAUAAAAGCAUUUAAACUGAUCCUUGCCAGUUAAAUAGGGUCCAACCAAUCACAACAGACACUAAUACCGGCUGAUUGUUACCUUUCCAUCUCUUGCUGUACCUCGUUAACAAUAGAAUCUCAAAAAAUGCCUGCUGAAUAAACCAUACAUAUGCAUAAUAAACUCCAAAAGAAAGUA